UAAAAAAAAAAGUAAUUAUAUUAUUCACUUAUUUUAAUUAAAUUAUUUAAGCUUUUCUCUAAAUCUUCCUCCUCAACCUAAAAAACCCUAACGUUGUUUCCAUAACUUCCCUCUUCAAUCUUCAUCAACCAACCUCAGCCCCUUCCCGUUGACCACCGCCGAGCUCUCGCCAUCUUCCAGUCGACCGUCGUCGAGCUCACACCAUCUUAAGUUUUCCACCAUGAAUGCGCAAAGAGAUCACGAUGAAAUCAUGGGUUCAGCUCGAAAUUUUACUGAAGAAGAGAGGACAGAGUAUAAGGAGAUUAUGUGGGACGACAAGGAGCUUUGAUACCUUGUACGGUUCGACUUUGCCCUCACGAUCUAUUCGUCAAUAAUAUUUGCAGUGAUCUUGAUUGUCUUUAGUUGCCUUGUUGUUGAUCCAAGGAUAUUAGUUUGCCUUGUUGUUACUACAGUAGUACAGUUACAGUUUUAUAGACUGUUAGUACAGAAUACAAAUGUACAAUACUCUAUUGUUCUUGAACGCUAUGAACGUAGAUGAGUCAAGCACUACAGUUUGAGCUGAACUUGUUCAUUUGCCGAGCUUGAGAUUUUUGUUUGUGUUUUAUAUUCUUAAAAAGUGAGUCUUGACCUAGCUUGUUCUUUAGGGAUGGUUCAGACGAUUUUCGUGCUCCAUAUGCCAUAAAAAUUUUAGGAAAAGAGGUGACACGUGAUGAAAUGAGAAUACUGUGUGCUUUGCAAUAUGUUAUAGGUGUGUAUUUGUCUUUUAAUUUUAGAUGGUGCAUCAGUUGGUGUAUAUUGGUUCAUUGCAGUUGGUUGAUAAGAUAGCUAGGCUCAGCUUGAAGUUGUUUGACAUGAUGGUGCAUUACCAUUUUUUAACGUUUUGGCAUGGCAUACCUGUUGCGUAGUUGAAUUUGGAUAAAUGUGUUUUAGGUUGGUGCUAAAUCUCCUUGUUAUCAGAUGACAUUGUGUUAAUGAUCUUUUGACUUAAUUUGAUAGAUUUGAUAAUUGAAGAGUAAUGCAGAUGCAGCUGCUGCAGCCGCUAGUUGUCAUACAAAGUCCAACAUAUUAUCAUAAAGUAAACAUGACUAGUUGUAGAACUAGAUCUUCUUGUAUUCAUUAAAUUGUCGUAAAUAUUGAAAGGCUUAAGAAUAUGGCAAAGCCUAUAUUUUAUACUUGUAUUCAUUUGUGAAAGACCUAAUUACCUUUUUUUUUUGCAUAAAUGUACCUUAGACUUUAAGGGUACACCUCCCCCUAAGGUUAUUCUAACCAUUUUGUGUUGUCUAGAGCCUAGUUAUUCAAAAUCGGAAUCGGUUCGGACUGAAUUGGGUGUUCGGCCUUCCGAGUUGUUAAACAUAGCUAAUUUAGUUUUGAUUCUUUUGAAGUUUUUUGAAUAACUUGAUGUCUCUUUAAUAUCCACAUUUGAUUGAUAUGUUUUGUUGGGUACCUUUGUCUACAACCAGAAGUAAAUGUCAGAGAACUCUUGUUUGCACCAUGUAAGCUCUAUUGGAGGUUUCCUUUGCUUCUCUCCCUUGUGCUGGAAGCCUUGAAGUUGAAGGGCUCAACUGUGAUAAGUCUGAUAACAUUUAAAGAUAAGAAAUAUGGAAAAAUGUUCCUCAGCUGGUUCACUUAAUAUCUUGAGUAACUGAGCUUGACAAAGAUCAUGUUAUUGCCUGUUAUAAAUAAUCUUUCAACUUCUGUUUGUUGUGGUCAGUCUUCAGUUGUGAAAUCUCUUCAUCCAUGCAACGGUGCUGAUUUUUUUUCCCUCUUAAUAA